AUUAUUUUGUUGUGCUACACAGCAGACCGUACUCUGAACCGGAUGGUAGGGUUCCGAGCAAUGAUGAAUUUAAACUUUUUUACUUAACCCUCUUCAUCUAGUUGCCAGGUGAAUUUAACCCGAUUGUUACCAUAACCCCACGAUGGGACGCAUCCUAGUAUACAUGGUGUCGAUCAGUACCAAGUGCUUCGAAAUAUCAAUGCAUGCGUGAAUGCGUGAAGAGAUAUGAUUUAGUCUACAUUAAACUAUUGAUGACUAUCAAAUAUUAAGAAAUUGAGUAAGAACGUCUAUUUCGAAAGUCUAUUCAUAGAAGACUUGAAUUCUCAUAGAGGAUACUUAAAGCCCGUCAUGGGAUCAAGCCCUGGAUGGACCGUGUGCCCUUACGUAGGAUUUGACUAUCUUGCUAUGUGUAAUCAGUAAGUCAUUGAAAGCCAAGGCCCAGUAGUGGUACAGAGGCAAAACAGAAUAUGCGGAUGUAGGGAAGCUCCAUAUUAUUGACUCCGAAUUUCGAUACUCCAGACAAAGGCGGCCAGUGUAUCAUUAGCCUGUUACAUUAAAUCAAACCACAACAACAGCAUAAAUCAUUCAAUUAAACACAUUUUUGUAAAGGGUUUCAUCGUAAAGAAAGUACCAACACCACGCCAACAGUUAUACUAGAGUUUGACAUGUGGUAAUAGUUAAAGCAACCCAACGUUUUGCUUAUCACACUAUCAAGAAGCUACACAAACAAACAAAUGGGAAGGCAGAUUUAUCACGAAUACACUGUGGAAGGUUUAAAGCUUCCUGUAAAUCCUUUCGUCCACAACCGUUCAACCGGUAGAGCACACUACGCCAACAGAAACACGUGCGAAGUAAACAACCCAGCAACCGUUUCCGAAACGAUUGUUAGAAAGUAGGCUUGCUUUACACAAAUGUUGCCAAAGUGUGUUUAUGUUCCGGCGAACGGUUGAUAUUCGGAAAAACGAGAAAAAUAAAUUCCCCCCAAAUGUUGCUUACGGCGUACAGUACGAAACGUGCGCGGUAAAUGUGGAAUUCCUAAAAUGGUGGAACUUUUUUGAUUUUCUUUGUGCUUACGUUCAGGUCCCAUUCAAAAAUGUAUUUUGUUUACGAAAUGUAAGAAGAAAACAUCAAAACAAAAACAAAAACCAGUUUUAAAACCCGGCCAUCGCCGUAUACGCACCGCACCAAAGCGCCCGAAAAGCGUAUAUGUAUCUCCCGCCCAGAUCCUCAGACGCGAUAGGUGAGAGGAUAUAAAAGCGAAAGAAAAACAUGUUUACCCAACAACUACUGCUACACAACAUCUUUCGCCGGGUCGGCGUUCGAUCGUUACUCACCCAUAUCCUAACGAAUCGAGCACCAUUUCUUAUGGGAGAAACAACCAUAUCAACUCUAUGUUAGCUUGCACGGCUGGGAAGGUGAUCGUGCAAACCGUGCGCGUAAAUUUCAUCCUCGACCAAAUAUGCUCUUUGCACCGAUGGUAAAUGAUCGAAAGCUGUUUGCUGUUUGGUUGGACCCCGACUGAACCUCAUUACACCUUCUAGUCCUCGUCGGGUGUCCAAACAGGUCGUUUGCCCAGAACGCGCAGAUCGAAUGGAAGCUGAGAUGAGAAUCUUACGCAUCUUAUCCGCCCCGAACCAGUAAUAUCCAGAUUUAGCUAAAUCCUGCGUUUGAAGUGGAGGAAAGACGAAACAAACGAGCCUUAAAAAAUCAUCGAGCCUGGUAUGACCCUCUUUUGUUGGGGCGGUUUAACCUUGAAUGUAUAGUGUUGUUAUGCGUCUCGCUCUGCGUUUUUGCGGAUUAACUUAUUUGAACAGAUCGCAACAAGUUGGGGUUGUACAAUCACGGCCAUUUUAUGUUUAUUUAAUUUGGAUUUUAAUGGAACGAUUUAUACAAGUUACCACUAAUAAAAGGGAUUUUUUAUUGGUGUUGGUAUUCCAAUUCCAAUAAUUCCACACACUAAACUGCUUCACAAUGAGCAAUCACAUUGAAUGGUAUUAACACGUGCUAACCACGCGCAUACCCGCGUGGUUUUAGGGUCACUACACAUUCAAAGUCAUCAUCAUUACGAAUCGAAAUGAAACGGUUUCUACCGUAUCAAAAUGAUUGGAGAACACAAAACGCCAAUCCACUGCCGUUCACUGCAAAACAUUGUAAUUAUGGAACGGUUUAGGCCUUUCAACUGAGGGAUGAGUUAUACUAGAGGAGACAACGGCUAACGGCGUUGCACAAUUUGGCAUGACAGCUCACAGUGGGGGGCACAGUGGUUGUUGAUCAUUAGUCAUACACACCGGGGAGAAAGAACGAUGCCAAGGAUCAAUCAGGAUCAUCUACCACAAAACUGGCUAACCAUGAACUGGGCGCCUGUUUACUGAAGCGCUUAGAAAUACUAGAUUACAGAUAUCGGAGAUGUUCCAUAUACACUUUGCGUCUACUUUAAGCGCAUUUGCUUUCAC